rnacentral:ncRNA from 1 species
UUGAGUGCGAUGAUGGAGAAGAGUAAUUAGAUUAAUUAUUAUAGAGAGUCGGUGGUGCUGGAAAUCCGAUAUAAUUGUUUGAUGAAGGGAGCUCCUAAGCAAUACAUUAUAAAGUGAGCGUUUUAACGUUAACUAGGGUGGAACCGCGGAAGUAAACCUUUCGUCCCUUUU